UUCUUAUUGGAUGAUGAUUGGUACAUGUCAUGUUCUGAUUGGAUGUCAACUCCAUGAAAGAUGAAAUGCAUUGUUGUUUUCAUUGACCAGUCAGAACAUGACAUGUAACAAUCAUCAUCC
rfam:Glycine soja cultivar W05 scaffold2017_2, whole genome shotgun sequence.